GGUCUGAACUGAUCCUGCCUGCAGCUCUGAUAGAGGAGCUCAGCCCAGGUUUCCCAGGUCCUUAUAUUCAGUGAUCAGAACUGCACAGACUGCACACCAUGGACUUCAGCAUCAGCUUGGUUUUCCUUGUCCUCAUUUUACAAAGUGUGCAGUGUGAGGUGCAGCUGGUGGAGUCUGGGGGAGGCUUAGUGCAGCCUGGAAGCUCCCUGAAAGUGUCCUGUGUAGCCUCUGGAUUCACGUUCAGUAGCUAUGUCAUGCACUGGUUUCGCCAGGCUCCAGAGAACGGGAUAGAAUGGCUUGCAUACAUUAAUACUGAUAGUAGUAGCACCCACUAUGCAGAAACUGUCAAGGGCCGAUUCACCAUCUCCAGAGACAAUGCCAAGAACACCGUGGACAUGCAACUGAGCAGUCUGAGGUCUGAGGACACUGCCAUGUAUUUCUGUGCAAGAGAGAGACACAGUGAAUAA